rnacentral:pre_miRNA from 1 species
AUUAUACUCCCUCCGUCCCAAAAUUCUUGUCUUAGGUUUGUCUAGAUACGGAUGUAUCUAAUACUAAAACGUGACUUGAUACAUCCGUAUUUAGAUAAAUCUAAGACAAAAAAUUUGGGACGGAGGGAGUAUUUA